AAGGUGGUCCACAAACUGAACAUCUUAUUAGCUCCGUAAGAGUUUGUGAUCUGUGCACAUGAGGUAGUGGGAGGGAGAGAGGGGAAUGGGUCUUUGGUGAUCUUGGGAAAGGUGUCAGCUGGUUUGCUCAUACUGGCAUAUUUCAUUUGAUGCCCCGUUGCUUGCAGAGGUGUGGUCAGUGCCUUAAUUCACCACUUUAUUGCAAACUCUUGGACAGACUGAUGAAUACUAACAAAAUAUAUGCGCUCUUUGGAGUGUGUGCUACAAUCAGUAGGAUGUGAUCUUGCUCUCUGGCUAGACCCCUUCCUUUUUGUUUUGUUUAUUUGUUUACCAUUUUUUGGAAGGUUGCACACCUCAUCUCACUUCAUUAUUCUCCUCUAGCUCAUCAGUUUCUGAUUCAGAGCAUGGACAUAUUUACAGGAUAUGGACUGCUAUUAGGAAUUCUGUCACAUUAGUUUUUUUAGCUAGAUCUUAUCUUUCAAUGUAAGAAUAACUUGUCACUGAUAUUAGCCAAUGCUAUCCUGCUACCUUUGUCAGACUAGCAACCAAUGGAAUAUUGUGCAUUACAGUAUAUUCCAAGCGGUGGCUAUGCCAGUUCUAGAUUCAAUCUGUCUUCAUAUGGAAGUCUCUCCAUGCCUCUAUCAUUUUCAUCAUCCACCUCCGAACCCUUUCUAUUUCAGUUAUAUCUUUCUUCAGGUAGAGUUCCCAGAAAUGAAAAUGGUAUUCCAAGUGAGGGGAAACAUUGCUUUAAAAGUGGCAUUAUAUUCUCAAGUAUUAAAUUUUAUGCCAUACUUUAUACACAUCCUAUCUUUGCUUGCUUUUUUGGCUACUGCUAUACAUUGACCAGAGGUUUUCACUGAAUUUCCCCCAACAACACAAGUCUUUUUCCUUAGUGGUUACAACUAAUUAAUUUGGAACCCAAUUCAAAAUUAUUUCUUCCAGUGUGCAUUACCAUAAUUAUCAACAAUGAAUUCAGCUGCCAUUUUGCUGCCCAUUCACCUAGCUUUGUUAGGUCCCUCUGAAUUUCCUUACAGUUUUUUUUAAGUCUGAAGUCACCUCUUCUGUGAUGUAUGCCAUCUCAUCAAACACCUGCUUUUCCAGAUUACUAAUAAGCAUAUUAAACAACAGUCCUAGUGGGGAAUUGUGAGUCUACCUACUAUUAGCCUUUUGAAAUGUUGAAAAUUUACCCUUUUUGCUACUCCUUGGUUUGUAUAUUAUCCUGUUUGAAAAUGGAAUUACUCUACCUCUCAUCCUAUGUUUGCUUAGCUUUGUUAAUAUUCUAUUGUGAACUGUCAAAGAAUUUCUGAAAAAUCCAAAUAAAAUGUCAGUUGAUUUUCCUUAAUCUACAGCUUUGUUCAUGAGAUCAGAAGAUUCUAAUAGAUUAAAGAGCUUUCUCUGUUAUGUGCUGAGUGUGGGAAGUUCACAAACCACAACAAAUUGAGGCAUAUCAAGUAGUAUCCGGACAGCCCAACCAACCUGGGGCCCAAUUGCACAAAGCACUAGACUGGCAUAUGAAUUUUGGAUAUCAGCGCAAGCCGAAUCUGCUCAGCACCUCCCAGGCAGCACACCGCACCCUGCAAGCCCGGUUCCUAUUGUUUGCCCUAAAGUGCCAUAUGAAACUGAUUGAAUGCUGUUUGCUGAUCUCAAUUUUUCAACAGCAAGAUUAAAAUGAGGCUUCAAAAUGAAAAGGUAUUUAGUCAAAAUCAAUUAUAGUUUAUGAAAACAGCACUUCCAAAUCUGUUGCCAUUACCAGUAAUGGGGUGAGAGGGAGAGAGGAACAGACUUUUGUUUAUUACUAUCCACUGUCAUUUUAGAUCUCCUAACCACAUAUUUUGUGGAUUGUCUUAUUUGUCCUCUUGCCCCCUCCCACUUUGCCAGU